GACCGGGGUGGGCUGGCUGGCUGUCCUGCUCGGAGCGGGACAGUGGCUGGCCCGGGCGCAGGCCUGGCCGGGCCGCC
rnacentral:tRNA from 1 species